rnacentral:misc_RNA from 1 species
GAUGAAGAACGUAGCGAAAUGCGAUAAGUAAUGUGAAUUGCAGAAUUCAGUGAAUCAUCGAAUCUUUGAACGCGCAUUGCGCCCAUUAGUAUUCUAGUGGGCAUGCCUGUUCGAGCGUCAUUUCAACCCUUAAGCCUAGCUUAGUGUUGGGAAUCUGCUGUAUUGCAGUUCCUCAAAUACAACGGCGGAUCUGUAACAUCCUCUGAGCGUAGUAAAUUUUUAUCUCGCUUUUGUUAGGUGUUGCAGCUCUCAGCCGCUAAACCCCCCAAUUUUUGUGGUUGACCUCGGAUCAGGUAGGAAUACCCGCUGAACUUAAGCAUAUCAAUAAGCGGAGGA